UUGGAGGGCAAGUCUGGUGCCAGCAGCCGCGGUAAUUCCAGCUCCAAUAGCGUAUAUUAAAGUUGUUGCAGUUAAAAAGCUCGUAGUUGAAUUUCGGGGUCAGUAGAUCGGUCAUGCCACUGGUAUGUACUGGUCUCACUGAUUCCUCCUUCCUGAUGAGCCGUAAUGCCAUUAAUUUGGUGUUGCGAGGAAUCUGGACUGUUACUUUGAAAAAAUUAGAGUGUUUAAAACAGGCUAACGCUUGAAUACAAUAGCAUGGAAUAAUGAAAUAGGACGUUCGAUCUUAUUUUGUUGGUUUCUAAGAUUGACGUAAUGAUUAAUAGGGAUAGUUGGGGGCAUUAGUAUUCAAUUGUCAGAGGUGAAAUUCUUGGAUUUAUUGAAGACUAACUACUGCGAAAGCAUUUGCCAAGGAUGUUUUCAUUAAUCAAGAACGAAAGUUAGGGGAUCGAAGACGAUCAGAUACCGUCGUAGUCUUAACCAUAAACUAUGCCGACUAGGGAUCGGAUGAUGUUAAUUUUUUAAUGACUCAUUCGGCGCCUUACGGGAAAC
rnacentral:rRNA from 1 species